CUACAAGCCAAGAGAAGAAGCCUCAGAAUGAAACCAGCCUGGCUAGCACUUUGCCCUAGGACUUCCCAGCCUCUGGAACUGGUGGCUGUCCACACCAGCUGUGCACCUCCUCUGGACCAUACUGAAAAAGCUGCUGCCUUGUUCAGGAUGAAGACUUAAGAGUGAUUCAAAAGAUGGGACACAUGAAGACUCUGCCUUAGGGUCAUCUUUCCUCCCUGCUGAACUUGGUAACAGAGUGGAGAACUUAGC